GAAUGUGAGGGCGAUCUGACUGCGACAUCUGUCACCCCAUUGAUCGCCAGGGUUGAUUUGGCUGAUCUGGCUGGCUAGGCGGGUGUCCCCCUCCUCCCUCACCGAUCCAAGUGCGUCCCUCCCGAAGCUGUGCGCUCGGUCGAAGAGGACGACCUUCCCCCCGCCCCGAAGAGAGGACCGGUCUUCGGUCAACGGUAUACGAGUAGCUGCGCUCCCCUGCUAGAACCUCCAAACAAGCUCUCAAAAUACCUUAUAACCUGAUUCUGGAUCCCAGGAAGAGAACUGUGGACACUCCCAAAACCAAAGCAUUAGAUGUGUUGGUGGGACUCUCU
rnacentral:snRNA from 1 species